rnacentral:piRNA from 1 species
UAUGUGAAACAUUCAUACAUGUCAGCGAUGC